UACGUAGGCAGCAAGCGUUGUUCGGAAUUACUGGGCGUAAAGAGUGUGUAGGCGGUGCUCUAAGUUCGUUGUGAAAUCUCCCGGCUUAACUGGGAGGGUGCGGCGGAAACUGGAGUGCUCGAGCGUGGGAGAGGGAAAGCGGAAUUCCUGGUGUAGCGGUGAAAUGCGUAGAUAUCAGGAGGAACACCUGUGGUGUAGACAGCUU
rnacentral:rRNA from 1 species